rnacentral:rRNA from 1 species
UACGUAGGUGGCGAGCGUUGUCCGGAUUUACUGGGCGUAAAGAGCGCGCAGGCGGCUGGUCAAGUCCGAUGUGAAAGCUCCCGGCUUAACUGGGAAAUUGCAUCGGAAACUGAUCGGCUGGAAGGUGGGAGAGGGUAGCGGAAUUCCCGGUGUAGUGGUGAAAUGCGUAGAUAUCGGGAGGAACACCAGUGGCGAAGGCGGAUCUCUGGGCCGUAACUGACGCUGAGGAGCGAAAGCAUGGGGAGCGAACAGG